rnacentral:rRNA from 1 species
CACCGGCGGCUCGAGUGGUGGCCACUUUUAUUGGGUCUAAAGCGUCCGUAGCCGGCUUGGCAAGUCCCCUGGGAAAUCUGGCGGCUUAACCGUCAGGCGUCCAGAGGAUACUGCCAGGCUUGGGACCGGGAGAGGUGAGAGGUACCUCAGGGGUAGGAGUGAAAUCUUGUGAUCCCUGAGGGACCACCAGUGGCGAAGGCGUCUCACUAGAACGGGUCCGACGGUCAGGGACGAAAGCUGGGGGCACGAACCGG